rnacentral:rRNA from 1 species
UACAGAGGUCCCGAGCGUUGUUCGGAUUCACUGGGCGUAAAGGGUGCGUAGGUGGCUUUGAAAGUUUGAUGUGAAAUCUCCGGGCUUAACCCGGAAAAUGCAUUGAAUACUGCAGAGCUGGAGGGUUGGAGGGGGGACUGGAAUUCUCGGUGUAGCAGUGAAAUGCGUAGAUAUCGAGAGGAACACCAGUGGCGAAGGCGAGUCCCUGGACAACACCUGACACUGAGGCACGAAAGCUAGGGGAGCAAACAGG